UGGGACUGCACUGCACUAUUUCAAGCCACUCUGUAUGCAAGAAUAUUUGCGCUACCAGACAGCACAGGAAAGAAAAGGACGCUUGGAAAAAUGUAUUUAAAAGGACGAAUACCAGCCCCUGCUCCAUUCCACUCUGCAGUGAGAAGCUCGAGCGGAGAUGCAAAUGAAACGAUUGCACUUGCCAUUGAUCAGCUUCGUCUUUUACGAAACACUCUUUGUCAUACAUCCAGCCCAAAAAUUGAUAAAGUCACGUUCGAUGACUAUGUCAAGCACGCCAAAGAUGCGUUCACUGCUUUGAAUUUUAGCACGACAUCUCUGGACAGAACUGGGAAUUUGAAAGAAUCGGAUUUUCCUACAAAGGAAGUACAAAAACUAAAGGAAGAAAUCAAUCGUCAAAGCAAGGUUAUAGAUGAAAUUAGUGGAAUGAAAGAUGGAAUGAGUGAAAUGAAAGAUGAUGUGAGUGGAAUGAAAAAUGAAAUGAGUGAAAUGAAAGAUGGAAUGAAAGAUGGAAUGUGUGAAAUAAAAGAUAAAAUGAGUGGAAUGAAAGAUGAAAUGAAAGAUGGAAUGAGUGAAGUGAAAGAUGGAAUGACUGGAAUGAAAGAUGGAAUGAAUGAAAUGAAUCAAAAACUGAAUAGCAUGGAAGGAGUAUUCACACAGACAAAAUAUACCACAGGUAUGUUGUUUAUGUA